UAUACUCCCAUGUUCUGGGUUUUUGUUUGCCCUUGAGAGUUGUUAAGAUAAGUCAGAGGAGCUGGACAAGCCAUGCACCUCUGUGACAUGGAUCUUUCAUAUGCAAGGUUCAAGGCCAGAUCAGACACUGGAAAAUGUCCUUUCAUCCUUAAGGCUCAUAAAUGCAAGUCAAUUACCAGGUAAAAAGUCCUUAGACUAUCAUGCUGUGAUUAAGGCCAAACCUGCCAUUGGAGAGAAUACACACAGGAAAAAAUAAAUCAAAAUAAGCUUUCAGCUCUUUUAGCCAGGUAAGUAUUAAAGAAGAAACUUAAGAACUCAGUC